rnacentral:lncRNA from 1 species
UGGGAAUAUUCUACAGACAUAAAGAGGGAACCCCGUUUGUUCAUGGCAAAGGCUAACCAAGGGGGGGAACUCAUGUAAGUGUCAACACUAUGAAAAAUUCAACCUUUAUGUGAGUUCCAAAAAGAAUGCCUACUACAUGUUUGUUGUUUUGUUUGUAUUAGCAAAUUUAGAAUUCGUGUAGCUUAUGAUAAGAUUGUUGUGUUUCAAUUUGUUAGUUGAGUAUGCACUUUCCAAAAAUCUAAACGGGGAUUUCAAACGCUUUGAAUAAAAUGAAACCUGCAUUUGAUCUCUUUAAGAUAGAAAGUUUUGAUUGGAGUUAGUAUAAGAGGUGGUCUAAGGAAAUGUUCUUGUAGCUGGAAAUGUUUAAUCUUGAAUAUAUGUGGUGUGUUGAUUUAUGUAAAUUUUGUUGCUAAUUCUACUACAAAAACUGUUGGUG